CUUCGCCACGGCAGCGAUGACAGCGCUUCGGCUGAGGACCCAAAGCGCAUUCGGAGGCAAUGUGGUUGGCGAAUUCGCCGCAGUUAUAGCAGCGCAUGCGACGAGUCCUGCGAUUUCUGUUGGUUGUUUCGUGGAUAGGUGCUGCCUUGACAGCUGCCGCCAUGCCUGCUGGACACCCUGGUGGCCUCCAGACCGCGCGACGUGCGCUGGCACUCGAACUCCACCUCCUCCUGCUCGCCCAGGGAUCGGAAACCGGACAUCUGGAUGACGCUCUGAAAGGGAACAAAGAGUACCCACCUGAUGGACGAACACCUCCUGGCCGCCGUCGUUGGGGGUAAGGAAGCCCCAUCCCUUGGCCACAUUGAACCACUUGCAUUUGCCCACUCGCACACAGCCGCAUUCCUCGGCGGGACUCGCAGGAUUUACAGGAUUCGCUGGAGGGAAGAGAAAAUGAAACAUGAGUGCGGAGUCCAAUUCGUUAUCCUGUCUGGGAAUGCCUCUCCUCAACGUUUUGUUAUUCAAAUGACCAAGCGGCGGUUAGGCAGCUGAACAGCAUUCAUUGUGUCCUUGCCCCAUUUGCCGCGAGGCAAGUUCAACUUGGGUUAGGUUCUGCCCUGCCCCUGCCCCUGCCCCUGCCCCUGCCCUCUCACCACGCCGAUUCUUUAGCCCUCCACGUCCCCAGCCCAACUCCCAUUUGAGGGCAGAAAACAGGUUUCGUUGUUAUUAUAAGAAAUAUUUUGGAAAGAACUGAACGAGCGGCGGAGCGGCGUAUUCAUUCCAUUAUCUAAGCAGGGGCUCAUCUCACUCACACACGCACACACACACACUCGCACACACACGCCCAUCCAUUUGAACUGGCUCAUUCAUUGAUUCAUUCAUAAAUUGUUUUCACUGCGCUCGCUCCCAUUUCGCUGGCAGCUUAUCUAUUUCUCGAAAUGUGCCCUAGUAUUCGGAGUACUCGAGUACUCGUAGUAUCGCCUAGAUGCCGCAAUGCCUAAGUGCCUAGAUGCCCAGAUACUCGGAAUGCAUUCACAUGCUUCUCUGGCUUAUCUGAAAACGAAAUUUUCAUUUUCGGGGGUUGCUGGCAUUUCUAGGUCGGCCUGUUCGAGCAAUUUUCUUACUCAUUUCCAGCGCGAACGUGAAUGGACCUUUGAGAUCUUGGAAAUUUCGUUUGCGUCUGAUAAGAAACCUAAUUGAAUGAAAAUCUUUCAGUUUGGCCAAACCACCACCAUUACACGAUUAUCCUUCUUGGCCAGCUUGGUUUCCCUUUCCUUUUCUUAUAGGUAAGUCGCAAACUGGUUUCCCCAUUCAAUUAGCUUUGUAAAUCGCGCAGAUCUAACGCCUCAAAUGCACUGAGGCGAGGAUAAUCCUCAACUGGCCGUGUCUUUGGCUGUGUCCUUGAUCGACGUGUGAUGGUAAGUCGGUCAACGUUCGGGGGUUGAUGACACCUCUAUCGCUGUAUAUAGAAACCCCCUCCCCCGCAACCAAAUUGCCAAUAAAAAAUCAAAUCAACGAAUGGCAAAAACACAACAGAAACCGUGAAAAACACACGCCAGCGAAUAAAGAACUGCGCAGUAUAUAAAAACAAAAAAAAAAAAAGCCAGACAAAAACAGAAACCAAAUAUUAGGGCGAUCGCACAGCCAAUCAGCAAUCAGUUUGAUAAGAUUUCCUAUUGAAUUUUGUUGUCGCUUUUUUUGGAACACAAAACACGUUUGUUGUGGGUUGUGGUGGCAGCGGGGAAUGUGUGACGUUCAUGCAUUAGUUGGAAAUUAGUUUCACUCUACGCCAUAUUCUAAACAAACCUGAUGAAGUGGAACUCUGGCUGCUGGUCCUCCUGUUCAAGCCAUUUUCCAACUGUAGAUUUUCCAUGCUGACUUCUUGUGUUUUUCAAUUUGAUUGAUUUUAAAUUGGAAUAUACUUAAAUUGUUUGAUUUUCGCUCAAAAAUUGGAUGUUGCUUAAAACUUCACUGCAAAUGCAUGGUUUUCCAGCCAACGCACAGACAUGUGGCCAAAGAUCCGUAUCUGUAAAUGUAUCUGUAUCUUUCACUGCCCGCACUCACACAGCUACAGCACUUUCUCGAUAUUUUUUUUUUUUUUUGUUAUUUACCGAAGGGGAAAUUAGGAAAACGCUGCCGCUGCGCACGACGCACUUCGUCACACUGACUCCGCGUUGCGUUUGACUAUUUCUAGGAAGGUCGCAGCAGGCCCGAAAAAUAUUUGGCUCAGUAUCUUGAAAACAAUAUUCGUGUGUGUGUGUGUGUGUGUGUAUGUUGGUGUUUGUGUUGGUGUGUCGGUGAGUGAGCGUGGAAAUUGUCGAGCUGAGUUGAGUGAAUUCGCCCCGUUUCGGUUUGAGUUGAGUUGAGUUCGGCACGUAAAUGUAUCUGACAGAUACUCUAUCUACAUGACGAUCGCGGGGAGAAGCAUCGCAAAACGUGCAGAGAGAGCGCGCUAGAGUGAGAGCCAAAUUUAUCUAUGCCGAGCCAUAGACCAUAGGCCCUAAAUGCCGAGCGCACUUUUGGAUUCAUACUCGGAUUUGGAUGUAUCUGCAUCUGUGUAGGGCACUCGAAAAGUGCGUGAGACCAGCGCACUUCAGGAUACUUGAGAAGCUUAACUGUUAUACAAACCACACUGAAUAGGUUUCAAUUGACGUUUUUUAUGAGUAUUUUUAAUUAAUUGAGUUAUUAAUUUUAGAUUGUGGGUUUGCUUUUUGCCUUAAACGAUUAUAUUUUGAGGUAAACACUUAAACUUUAAAUUCCACAUGAAAUGAAAUAAAUGAAUGAAUAUGAAAUAAAACUAAACUAUAAAUAAAGCUAUAAAAUGUGUAAAACUUUUAAUCAAUAAAUUGAAAUUGUCGAAAUAAUGUUCAAUUUA